rnacentral:rRNA from 1 species
AGUGAACGCUGGCGGUAGGCCUAACACAUGCAAGUCGAACGGCAGCACAGUAAGAGCUUGCUCUUACGGGUGGCGAGUGGCGGACGGGUGAGGAAUACAUCGGAAUCUACUUUUUCGUGGGGGAUAACGUAGGGAAACUUACGCUAAUACCGCAUACGACCUACGGGUGAAAGCAGGGGAUCUUCGGACCUUGCGCGAUUGGAUGAGCCGAUGUCGGAUUAGCUAGUUGGCGGGGUAAAGGCCCACCAAGGCGACGAUCCGUAGCUGGUCUGAGAGGAUGAUCAGCCACACUGGAACUGAGACACGGUCCAGACUCCUGCGGGAGGCAGCAGUGGGGAAUAUUGGACAAUGGGCGCAAGCCUGAUCCAGCCAUACCGCGUGGGUGAAGAAGGCCUUCGGGUUGUAAAGCCCUUUUGUUGGGAAAGAAAAGCAGCAGGUUAAUACCCCGCUGUUCUGACGGUACCCAAAGAAUAAGCACCGGCUAACUUCGUG